rfam:Triticum aestivum genome assembly, contig: Triticum_aestivum_CS42_TGACv1_scaffold_499505_6BL
UUACUACUCCCUUCGAUUGAAAAAGUUUGUCCCUAAAAUGGAUGUAUCUAGCAUCAAGUUAGUACUAGAUACAUUCAUUUGAAAAACAAGUUUGGGACAAGUUUUUUCAAACGAAGGAAGUACUUG